UAACAGCUGGAAUAGCUCAGUUGGUGAGAGCGUGGCUGUUAACCUCACCAUUGGAGUGUAGAGCCCUCUUUCCAGCGC